rnacentral:rRNA from 1 species
UUCUGUUGAUCCUGCGGAGGGGACCUAUCGGCUCGAAUAAGCCAUGGGAGUCGGUGGGGCCUUGCCCUGGCGGCGCACGGCUCAGUAAUACACGGUCAACUGCCUGGGGACCGGGAUAACCUCGGGAAACUGAGGCUAAUCCCGGAUAGGGGUGGAUUCCUGGAAUGGGUCCACCCCCAAAGUAGGCGGGGGAAUGGCCCCGCUGAGGCCCCAGGAUGGGACCGUGGCCCAUCAGGUAGUAGGUGGGGUAACGGCCCACCUAGCCUAAGACGGGUGCGGGCGGUGGGAGCCGGAGCCCGGAGAUGGGCACUGAGACAAGGGCCUAGGCCCUACGGGGCGCAGCAGGCGCGAAACUUCCCCAAUGCGCGCAAGCGUGAGGGAGUGAGCCCGAGUGCCGCCCGCUGAGGGCGGCUGUUCCCGGGUGUAAACAGCCCGGGGUAGGAAAGGGAGGGUAAGGCUGGUGCCAGCCGCCGCGGUAAAACCAGCUCCUCGAGGGGUCCCCACGCAUACUGGGCCUAAAGCGCCCGUAGCCGGCUCGGUAAGUCCCCGCCUAAAGCCCCGGGCUCAACCCGGGGAGUGGCGGGGAUACUACCGGGCUAGGGGGCGGGAGAGGCCGAGGGUACUCCCGGGGUAGGGGCGAAAUCCUAUAAUCCCGGGAGGACCACCAGUGGCGAAGGCGCUCGGCUGGAACGCGCCCGACGGUGAGGGGCGAAGGCCGGGGGAGCAAACCGGAUUAGAUACCCGGGUAGUCCCGGCUGUAAACGAUGCGGGCUAGGUGUUGGGAGGGCGGUAGAGCCCUCCCAGUGCCGCAGGGAAGCCGUUAAGCCCGCCGCCUGGGGAGUACGGCCGCAAGGCUGAAACUUAAAGGAAUUGGCGGGGGAGUACCACAAGGGGUGAAGCUUGCGGCUUAAUUGGAUUCAACGCCGGAA